GGUUAAUACAUCAGACAGCUAACUUUGAUUAAUAGCCUUUGCCUCAUUUCUCUUGAUUUCCUGGUUGAUUAAAAUAAUCUACAUUUGUAUCACAGUUGUUUCUGUUGUUGUUGAGUCAUUUCAAACCAUUUCAAGCAAUUUGGGUCAGUUUGCUGGCUAACUCAUUGAUCAAGCUUUUUGGAACAGGCCCCAGACGAAUGUGACUGGUGCUAAUCAGCAUUUUGUAGGAGGAUAUAAUCAUCCCAUCAGUGUGCUGUGUGUGUAGGGCAACCAUUUGGGACUUAAAAUAUUAGUAAAAUUAGAACCACAUUUUCAGAUGAGUAGUACAAACACCAGAUUCAGAAAACACAAACAAGAUACUUACAUAUAGUACAAUGUAGGCUCAGCUAGCUAGCGGUCGACGGUAAAAGUAUCUAUGUAGGCUCAGCUAGCUAGCGGUCAACAGUAAAAGUAUCUAUGUAGGCUCAGCUAGCUAGCGGUCAACGGUAAAAGUAUCUAUGUAGGCUCAUCUAGCUAGCGGUCGACGGUAAAAGUAUCUAUGUAGGCUCAUCUAGCUAGCGGUCGACGGUAAAAGUAUCUAUGUAGGCUCAUCUAGCUAGCGGUCAACGGUAAAAGUAUCUAUGUAGGCUCAGCAAGCUAGCGGUCAACGGUAAAAGUAUCUAUGUAGGCUCAUCUAGCUAGCGGUCGACGGUAAAAGUAUCUAUGUAGGCUCAGCUAGUGGUCAAAUGUAAAAGUAUCUAUGUAGGCUCAGCUAGCUAGCGGUCAACGGUAAAAGUAUCUAUGUAGGCUCAGCUAGUGGUCAACUGUAAAAGUAUCUAUGUAGGCUCAUCUAGCU
ensembl:lncRNA